rnacentral:misc_RNA from 1 species
CGGUUCCGGUUGUUAUCGUGUACACCUGAUAGCGGUCGUUACUCAUAGUAGGGAAUAUAUCCGCCAACCCGCAUUGGAGCAGCGUGGUAGAUUAAGCUCUGAUUCUUUUCUACAUGGGGAAAGAGGCCUAUGCUUAACAGUGGGAUAUCACUGGCUAAGCGUAACAAUCCAUACCCUUUUUCUAUCCAUUUAGAAACGAGGACUCUAAACAAUUUUUGACCAGCGUCAAAAAUUGUUUUUU